rnacentral:tRNA from 1 species
CCCGCGAUAGCUCAGUUGGCAGAGCGGAGGACUGUAGUGGUAAACUGGCAUCCUUAGGUCACUGGUUCAAUUCCGGUUCGCGGGA